AAAUAAUAGGGAAUUGGUCUCUGCGAAGCAAGAGAAGAUAAGGAAACAACCUCUAAAAUGAGUUCUCCGUCUCCUGAGUUCAUCUCUGAUCAACAGAUGGAGAAUCUCCCGAUUACAUCCAAUGAUGAAGCAGGGACCGCUGAGCCCAGUGUCACCAGGAGGACAAGACAGAGACCAGUGUCUCCAGAACCCAGUAGUGUGUCUAUGAAGAGCAGCAGAUCCUUGAUGCAUCCCCUUGAAUUCAGUGGUGGAACAGUGACCUCUGACCCAAGUAUCAGCAGGAAGGAGGGACAGAGAUCAGUGUCUCCAGAACCCAGCGGUGUGUCUGUGAAGAGUAACAGAUCCUUGAUGCAUCCCCCUAUAUUCAGUGAUGGACCAGUGACCUCUUAUACGUGGCAGGAAAGAACUGAAACAGUCAUACAGAAAGACACACUGGAGACUGUAGAUCUGCAGAGAGUCAAAGACCAGCACAAAACCAGCAUGAAGAACAAGUAUGAGAGAUUAUUUGAGGGAAUGAAACUCCAACAGAAUAAAACCCUCCUGAACAGGAUCUACACACAGCUCUACAUCAUAGAGGGAGAGAGAGAAGGAGUGAAUGAAGAACAUGAGGUUUUACAGAUGGAGAAAACAGCCAGAACAAAACACUCAAAAGACACUCCAAUCGACUGCAAUGACAUCUUUAAAGCCUCAGCUGAAGCAGGAUGUGAGGAGAAAGACCAGAUCAAGACUGUUCUUACUAAAGGCAUCGCUGGAAUCGGAAAAACCGUCUCUGUGCAGAAGUUCAUUCUGGACUGGGCCGAGGGAAAAGCCAAUCAGGAUGUAGAUUUCAUGUUUGUGCUUCCAUUUCGAGAGCUGAACUUGAUCCGAGAUCAUCAGUACAGUCUUCACAGACUUCUGCUGGACUUUCAUCCUGAACUUCAAGAUCUGGACUCACAGAUUUAUGAGGAGUGUAAAGUUGUGUUCAUCUUUGAUGGUCUGGAUGAAAGCAGAAUCAAACUGAUGUUUUCAGACAGUCAGAAAGUUUGUGAUGUGAUUGAGACUUCAUCAGUGGGUGUGUUGGUGUCAAACCUCAUGAAAGGAGAGCUGCUUCCCUCUGCUCUCAUCUGGAUCACAUCCAGACCAGCAGCAGCCAAUCAGAUCCCCCCCAAAUACAUCCACCGUCUGACAGAAAUUCAGGGAUUCACUGAGCCUCAGAAGGAGGAAUAUUUCAGGAAGAGAAUCAGUGAUGAGCAUCAAGCCAGCAGAAUCAUCUCACACAUCAGAAGAGCAAGAAGCCUCCACAUCAUGUGUCACAUUCCUGUCUUCUGCUGGAUCUCAUCCACUGUGCUUCAGAAGCUCCUGGACGAAGAUCUGAGUGCAGAAAUCCCUCAAACUCUGACUGAAAUGUACAUCCACUUCCUGCGAAUUCAGAUCAACAUGAGGAAGCAGAAGUAUGAAGAGAGAGAUCAAGAGAAACUCCUGAAGUCCAACAGAGAAGUGAUUGUGAAACUUGCUGAAGUGGCUUUCAAACAGCUGAUGAAGGGCAAUGUGAUGUUCUAUGAGGAGGACCUGAUUGAAACCGGCAUAGACCUCACUGACGCCUCAGUGUAUUCUGGGAUUUGCACUGAGAUCUUUAAGGAGGAAUCUGUGAUUCAUCAGAGGAAAGUGUACAGCUUCAUUCAUCUCAGCGUUCAGGAGUUUCUUGCUGCUUUCUAUGUGUUUUACUUUCAUGUGGGUACAACUAUGGAAGGACUGAAGAAUUUUGCUUCAUUACAAAAUUUGCUUAAAGGUGCAGUAGAUAAAGCCCUUGAGAGUGAGAAUGGCCACCUGGAUCUGUUUCUGCGGUUCCUGCUGGGUGUCUCACUGGAGUCCAAUCAGAGACUCUUACAGGAUCUACUGACACAAACAAAGAACAGCUCAGAGAGCAUCAGGAGAACCACAAAGUACAUUAAAGAGAAGAUCAAAUAUGGACAUGGACUCUCCACUGAAAGAUCCAUCAAUCUGUUUCUCUGUCUGCUGGAAGUGAAAGAUCAGACUCUGUCCAGAGAGAUUCAGGAGUUUGUGAAAUCAGACAAACAUUCAGAGAAGAAACUCUCUCCUGCUCACUGCUCAACAAUCUCCUACAUGCUUCAGAUGUCAGAGGAGCCGCUGGAUGAGCUGGACCUCAGGAAAUACAACACAUCAGAUGAUGGGAGAAGACGACUGAUACCAGCUGUGAGCAACUGCAGAAAAGCCCUUAUUGCUGGCUGUAACGUGACUGCUCAGGAUUGUGAAAUUGUAUCAUCAACUCUGCAAUCCUCAGACUCUGUCCUGAGAGAGCUGGAUCUGAGUGACAAUGACCUGCAGGACUCAGGAGUGAAGUUACUAUCUGAUGCACUGAAGAGUCCAAACUGUCAGCUGCAGAUACUGAGGAUGUCAGGCUGCAUGGUGACAGAGGAAGGCUGUGGUUAUUUGUCUUCAGCUCUGAGUUCAAACCCCUCACACCUGAGAGAGCUGGAUCUGAGCUACAAUCACCCAGGACCAUCAGGAGUCCAGCUGCUCAAACACAGACUGGAGGAUACAAACUGCUCACUGAAGAUACUCAAUUUUGACCAUGGGGACCCUUUGAGAAUCAUACCGGGACUGAGAAAAUAUGCCUGUGAUCUCACACUGGAUCCAAACACCGCACACACUCAACUCAUCCUGUCUGAGGGGAACAGGAAGGCAACACACGUUCAAGAGCGUCAUCAGUAUCCUGAUCUUACAGAGAGAUUUGAGCAGCAUGAGCAGGUUCUGAGUCGAGAGAGUCUGACUGGACGCUGUUACUGGGAGGCUGAAUGGAGCGGCUGGGCUUAUAUAGCAGUGACAUAUAAAGGAAUCAACAGGAAAGGAGGAAGUGAAUCUUGGUUUGGAUACAAUGAUAAAUCCUGGAGUCUGUACUGCACUGAAAACAGAUAUUCUGCCUGGCAUGAUAAUAAGAAAACUGACAUACCAGCCCCUUCAUCCUCUAAUAGAGUAGGAGUGUAUGUGGAUGUGUCGGCCGGCACUCUGUCAUACUUCAGCGUCUCUGACACACACACACUCACACACUUACACACAUUCAACACCACAUUCACUGAACCCCUCUAUGCUGGGUUCAGGGUGUUUAAAUCCUCUUUGUCUCUGUGUCAGUUUAAAUAAUCUGCUGUGAGAAACAACUGAGAUGUCACAAACAAAUGGUCUAUUUUUCCAAGCAGUCAGAAACUUAUAUUUUUCCUUUUUUUCUAACAUAACUCAAUUUACAGACAUUAGACCAUUUUGAUGCUCUCAGCGUGAAAAACCAUCUGGAAUAAGAGAGUUUGUGUGUUUGUGUGUGUGUGUGUGUGUGUGUGUGUGUGUGUGUGUGUGUGUGUGUGUGAGCUCGCAUCUUACGUCUUGUGCAAAGAGACAUCCAUAUUUUUCUCUAGGAAGGUGAUUUCUUUCUCCUUUUUGUAGGAUUUAUUAGAGUGCAGCUGUGGAAGGAUCCUCUUUCCAUUUGUGUCAGGACUGUUAGAAACUGUUACUGUUAUAAUACAUUAUUACUGCAUACUGUUUCGUAAUGUACUACAAUACUGAGUUGCAGGUACUUGCCACUAUUUGCAAUAAGUAAUAUAAAUAGCAGAAAAUACAGCUGUUUUACAAUAGUGUAAAUUGCUAAGAAAAUAUGCUAUUUUCACAUGCAAAUAGCCACUGCAUAAUUUAAAUGAGAUCCUCUUCUGCGACACUGAAAUGAUAAAAUCUUAUUAAUGUUAGAUAUUGUUACUUUAAAUGAGAGAGUCUUGAUACAUCAUUUUAGUGUUGCAGAAGUCAUUUUUGGCUCCUAUAUUUAACUAUUAUUAUUGCUAAAUUAUCUUUAUCUGUAGUUAAAACUAUAAUUCUGAGCAAGUCAUUGUUUUGUUUUGAUGCUUCCUUGGCAUUAUACACUUUUAGUUUUCUUUUUUUUCUUCCUGUUUUGAUUUUAAAACAUUUUGUCAUGUAACCUAAAAAUGUGGUUUUAUUAAGGUCAGAAUAAAUUACAAACAUUAUUCAUAUGACUAAACCUACCUGACGUAAGCAUCAGAUCAGGUGAAAAUGUCUCUUUAAUGUAACAGCUGGUUUUCCUCAAUAAAUCUUUGCACAUGAUGAGUCACA